AACGUAGGUGGCGAGCGUUAUCCGGAUUUACUGGGCGUAAAGAGCGCGCAGGCGGUCGAUUAAGUCGAGUGUGAAAGCCCCCGGCUCAACUGGGGAGGGUCAUUCGAUACUGAUCGACUCGAAGGCAGGAGAGGGUAGUGGAAUUCCCGGUGUAGUGGUGAAAUGCGUAGAUAUCGGGAGGAACACCAGUGGCGAAGGCGGCUACCUGGCCUGUUCUUGACGCUGAGGCGCGAAAGCUAGGGGAGCAAACGGG
rnacentral:rRNA from 1 species